rnacentral:rRNA from 1 species
CGAAGGUUUGAUGAGGAACUAGGCACGCGAACAAGUAGGCCGGGACACGUGAAAUCCUGGUUGAAGAUGGGUGGACCAUCAUCCAAGGCUAAAUACUACUUACUGACCGAUAGUGAACCAGUACCGUGAGGGAAAGGUGAAAAGAACCCCGGAGAGGGGAGUGAAAUAGAAUCUGAAACCGUUUGCGUACAAGCAGUGGGAGCAUGGUUUAGGCUGUGUGACUGCGUACCUUUUGUAUAAUGGGUCAGCGAGUUACUUUCAGUGGCGAGGUUAACUGAAUAAGGGAGCCGUAGAGAAAUCGAGUCUGAAUAGGGCGAUAGUCGCUGGGAGUAGACCCGAAACCGGGCGAUCUAGCCAUGUGCAGGAUGAAGGUUGGGUAACACCAACUGGAGGUCCGAACCGGGUAAUGUUGAAAAAUUAUCGGAUGACGUGUGGCUAGGAGUGAAAGGCUAAUCAAGCCCGGAGAUAGCUGGUUCUCCCCGAAAGCUAUUUAGGUAGCGCCUCGUGAAUGAUUACUGGGGGUAGAGCACUGUUUCGGCUAGGGGGCUGUCAUGGCUUACCAAACCGAUGCAAACUCCGAAUACCGGCUAAUUGGAUCACGGGAGACACACGGCGGGUGCUAACGUCCGUCGUGGAGAGGGAAACAACCCAGACCGCCAGCUAAGGUCCCCAAGUACUAGUUAAGUGGGAAACGAUGUGGGAAGGCAUAGACAGCCAGGAGGUUGGCUUAGAAGCAGCCACCCUUUAAAGAAAGCGUAAUAGCUCACUGGUCGAGUCGGCCUGCGCGGAAGAUGUAACGGGGCUAAAACUAGUCACCGAAGCUGCGGAUGUGCGCGAAGGCGCACGUGGUAGGGGAGCGUUCUGUAGGCUGAUGAAGGUGCAUUGAGAAGUGUGCUGGAGGUAUCAGAAGUGCGAAUGCUGACAUGAGUAACGAUAAUGUGGGUGAAAAGCCCACACGCCGGAAGUCCCAGGUUUCCUGCACGACGUUAAUCGGAGCAGGGUGAGUCGGCCCCUAAGGCGAGGCUGAAGAGCGUAGUCGAUGGGAACCAGGUUAAUAUUCCUGGACUUUUUAUAAGUGGUGAAGUGGGGACGAAGAAGGCUAGGUGAGCCAGGCGUUGGUUGUCCUGGUACUUGCAUGUAGGGGGGAAGACUUGGCAAAUCCGGUUUUCCAUAACUCUGAGGUGCGAAGUGGUUCUGACCUUUUGGUACAGAGAAGUCAUUGAUGCCCGGCUUCCAGGAAAAGCUGCUAGCCAUAACUUAUAGAGAACCGUACCGCAAACCGACACAGGUGGACAGGUAGAGAAUACUAAGGCGCUUGAGAGAACUCGGGUGAAGGAACUAGGCAAAAUGGUACCGUAACU